AGCGAACGCUGGCGGCAGGCCUAACACAUGCAAGUCGAACGAACCCUUCGGGGUUAGUGGCGGACGGGUGAGUAACACGUGGGAACGUGCCUUUAGGUUCGGAAUAACUCCGGGAAACUUGUGCUAAUACCGAAUGUGCCCUUCGGGGGAAAGAUUUAUCGCCUUUAGAGCGGCCCGCGUCUGAUUAGCUAGUUGGUGAGGGAAUGGCUCACCAAGGCUACGAUCAGUAGCUGGUCUGAGAGGAUGACCAGCCACAUUGGGACUGAGACACGGCCCAAACUCCUACGGGAGGCAGCAGUGGGGAAUCUUGCGCAAUGGGCGAAAGCCUGACGCAGCCAUGCCGCGUGGAUGAUGAAGGUCUUAGGAUUGUAAAAUCCUUUCACCGGUGAAGAUAAUGACUGUAGCCGGAGAAGAAGCCCCGGCUAACUUCGUGCCAGCCGCCGCAGUAAAAC
rnacentral:rRNA from 1 species